rnacentral:lncRNA from 1 species
CCGGAAGUGGCGCUGUGGAGAGAGAGUGCCUGCGGGUGGAGAAAGGUCCAGUCGGGUGGAAAGCACCGAGGGCCCCAGGUGCAAUGAGGAGGAAGAAAGAAGGUCCUAAUAUUUAAACGCCUGAAAAACAAGUGGUUAUUGUUUUUCUUGGGAAAUGGAAGGCCUGGAAAGCGGAACUUGGGUUCAGUGGGCCGGGCAAUAGCAAUAAGGCGGCAGCACUGAAUAAAAUUCCAUUCUAUGGAUGUACCACAGUUUGUCCAUUCACCUAUUUGACGGACAUCUUGGUUGAUUCCAAGUUUGGACAAUUAUAAAUAAAGCUGCUAUAAAUAUCCACGUGCAGGUUUUUGUAUGGACAUAAAUUUUCAUCUCAUUUGGGUAAAUACCAAGGAGCGCAACUGCUGAAUCUUAAGGCUAUAUUAAUAGUGAUACUAAAUAGUGGGCUGAAUUGUGCCCCAGCGAAAGAUAAGGCCACAUCCUAAUCCAGAGAACCUGUGGCUAUUACCUUAUAAGGUAAAAGAUUGAAAACUACCUUAAAUGGCAAAAUAUGUGAUUAAGAAUUUUCAGAGGAAGAGCCUCUCCUGGAUUUUCUAGGUGGACCCUAAAUCCAGUGACAAGUGUUCUUAUAAGAGUGAGACGAAGGAAGAUAACAGACAGAAAAGGAGGAGGCAGUGUGACCACAGAGGCAGAGACUGGAGUGAUGCAGCUAUGAGUCAAGAAAUGCCAAGAGCCUCCAGAAGCUGGAAGAGGCAGAAACUGAUUCCUCCUCUACAGCCUCCAGAGGGACUGCAGCCCUGCUGACGCCUUGAUUUCAGAAUUCUGGCCUCCAAAACUACAGGAGAAUAAAUUUUGUUGUUUUAAGCCACCCAGUUUGUAGUAAUUUGUUACAGCAGCCACAGGAAACUAAUACACCAGGUCAGAUUGGCAGGGGAGAUAUUCUUCACGUAACAUGAAGAUUAACCCUGAGCUAGCAGAAG